rnacentral:rRNA from 1 species
CCGGCGAUGUCCGAAUGGGGAAACCCAGUGCAAUUCGUUGCACUAUCGUUAACUGAAUACAUAGGUUAACGAGGCGAACCGGGGGAACUGAAACAUCUAAGUACCCCGAGGAAAAGAAAUCAACCGAGAUUCCCCCAGUAGCGGCGAGCGAACGGGGAGCAGCCCAGAGUCUGAAUCAGCUUGUGUGUUAGUGGAACGGUCUGGAAAGUCCGACGGUACAGGGUGAUAGUCCCGUACACCAAAAUGCACAGGCUGUGAACUCGAAGAGUAGGGCGGGACACGUGGUAUCCUGUCUGAAUAUGGGGGGACCAUCCUCCAAGGCUAAAUACUCCUGACUGACCGAUAGUGAACCAGUACCGUGAGGGAAAGGCGAAAAGAACCCCGGCGAGGGGAGUGAAAAAGAACCUGAAACCGUGUACGUACAAGCAGUGGGAGCACCUUCGGGUGUGACUGCGUACCUUUUGUAUAAUGGGUCAGCGACUUAUAUUCUGUAGCAAGGUUAACCGUAUAGGGGAGCCGCAGGGAAACCGAGUCUUAACUGGGCGUUAAGUUGCAGGGUAUAGACCCGAAACCCGGUGAUCUAGCCAUGGGCAGGUUGAAGGUUGGGUAACACUAACUGGAGGACCGAACCGACUAAUGUUGAAAAAUUAGCGGAUGACUUGUGGCUGGGGGUGAAAGGCCAAUCAAACCGGGAGAUAGCUGGUUCUCCCCGAAAGCUAUUUAGGUAGCGCCUCGUGAACUCAUCUUCGGGGGUAGAGCACUGUUUCGGCUAGGGGGUCAUCCCGACUUACCAACCCGAUGCAAACUACGAAUACCGAAGAAUGUUAUCACGGGAGACACACGGCGGGUGCUAACGUCCGUCGUGAAGAGGGAAACAACCCAGACCGCCAGCUAAGGUCCCAAAGUCAUGGUUAAGUGGGAAACGAUGUGGGAAGGCACAGACAGCCAGGAUGUUGGCUUAGAAGCAGCCAUCAUUUAAAGAAAGCGUAAUAGCUCACUGGUCGAGUCGGCCUGCGCGGAAGAUGUAACGGGGCUAAACCAUGCACCGAAGCUGCGGCAGCGACACUAUGUGUUGUUGGGUAGGGGAGCGUUCUGUAAGCCUGCGAAGGUGACCUGUGAGGGUUGCUGGAGGUAUCAGAAGUGCGAAUGCUGACAUAAGUAACGAUAAAGCGGGUGAAAAGCCCGCUCGCCGGAAGACCAAGGGUUCCUGUCCAACGUUAAUCGGGGCAGGGUGAGUCGACCCCUAAGGCGAGGCCGAAAGGCGUAGUCGAUGGGAAACAGGUUAAUAUUCCUGUACUUGGUGUUACUGCGAAGGGGGGACGGAGAAGGCUAUGUUAGCCGGGCGACGGUUGUCCCGGUUUAAGCAUGUAGGCUGGUUGUCCAGGCAAAUCCGGAUAAUCAAGGCUGAGGUGUGAUGACGAGGUACUACGGUGCUGAAGUAACAAAUGCCCUGCUUCCAGGAAAAGCCUCUAAGCAUCAGGUAACAUCAAAUCGUACCCCAAACCGACACAGGUGGUCAGGUAGAGAAUACCAAGGCGCUUGAGAGAACUCGGGUGAAGGAACUAGGCAAAAUGGUGCCGUAACUUCGGGAGAAGGCACGCUGGUGUGUAGGUGAAGUCCCUGCGGAUGGAGCUGAGACCAGUCGAAGAUACCAGCUGGCUGCAACUGUUUAUUAAAAACACAGCACUGUGCAAACACGAAAGUGGACGUAUACGGUGUGACGCCUGCCCGGUGCCGGAAGGUUAAUUGAUGGGGUUAUCCGUAAGGAGAAGCUCUUGAUCGAAGCCCCGGUAAACGGCGGCCGUAACUAUAACGGUCCUAAGGUAGCGAAAUUCCUUGUCGGGUAAGUUCCGACCUGCACGAAUGGCGUAAUGAUGGCCAGGCUGUCUCCACCCGAGACUCAGUGAAAUUGAACUCGCUGUGAAGAUGCAGUGUACCCGCGGCAAGACGGAAAGACCCCGUGAACCUUUACUAUAGCUUGACACUGAACAUUGAGCCUUGAUGUGUAGGAUAGGUGGGAGGCUUUGAAGCGUGGACGCCAGUCUGCGUGGAGCCAACCUUGAAAUACCACCCUUUAAUGUUUGAUGUUCUAACGUUGGCCCCUGACCGGGGUUGCGGACAGUGUCUGGUGGGUAGUUUGACUGGGGCGGUCUCCUCCCAAAGCGUAACGGAGGAGCACGAAGGUUAGCUAAUCCUGGUCGGACAUCAGGAGGUUAGUGCAAUGGCAUAAGCUAGCUUGACUGCGAGCGUGACGGCGCGAGCAGGUGCGAAAGCAGGUCAUAGUGAUCCGGUGGUUCUGAAUGGAAGGGCCAUCGCUCAACGGAUAAAAGGUACUCCGGGGAUAACAGGCUGAUACCGCCCAAGAGUUCAUAUCGACGGCGGUGUUUGGCACCUCGAUGUCGGCUCAUCACAUCCUGGGGCUGAAGUAGGUCCCAAGGGUAUGGCUGUUCGCCAUUUAAAGUGGUACGCGAGCUGGGUUUAGAACGUCGUGAGACAGUUCGGUCCCUAUCUGCCGUGGGCGCUGGAGAAUUGAGGGGGGCUGCUCCUAGUACGAGAGGACCGGAGUGGACGCAUCACUGGUGUUCGGGUUGUCAUGCCAAUGGCACUGCCCGGUAGCUAAAUGCGGAAGAGAUAAGUGCUGAAAGCAUCUAAGCACGAAACUUGCCCCGAGAUGAGUUCUCCCUGAGACUUUAAGUCUCCUGAAGGAACGUUGAAGACGACGACGUUGAUAGGCCGGGUGUGUAAGCGCAGCGAUGCGUUGAGCUAACCGGUACUAAUGAACCGUGAGGCUUAACCUU